rnacentral:rRNA from 1 species
CCCUUAGAUGUCCUGGGCCGCACGCGUGCUACACUGAGUGGAUCAGCGGGUCAGGUUGCGCGAAAGCGUUUCCUAAUCUUUAAAUCCGCUCGUGAUGGGGAUUGACGGUUGCAAUUUUCUGUCAUGAACGAGGAAUACCUUGUAAGCGCGGGUCAUCAUCCCGCGCUGAAUACGUCCCUGCCCUUUGUACACACCGCCCGUCGCUCCUACCGAUUGAGUGGUCCGGUGAGGCUUUGGGAUCUGAGCGGAAAGAGCGUUUCGCCGUUUCUGCUCGGAAAACUCAGUCGAACCUUAUCAUUUAGAGGAAGGAGAAGUCGUAACA